rnacentral:misc_RNA from 1 species
UACAUUCAGUAGAAAGUUAUGCGGUAUAAUACGACGUAGGUCGACGAAAAAAGCGUCAAGUAAAAACACAUUAUUAGAUAUAACUCGAAAAGUAGUUGUUAGAUCUCAAAUAAAUUUAAAUGGGACCAAUUGGCACACACCACCUUUCGAUUAAAACAAAAUUUGUCGAAAUCGGUCUACCCGGUCAAAAGUUCUGAUGUAACAUACAUAAAAAAAAACAAAAAA